rnacentral:lncRNA from 1 species
CCGAUAUUGACCACAAAGGCCUUGGGGUUAGGACUGAUGGAGCGCCACUGAUUAUCGACAAAGACUUGAAGGCCAUGAACAUGGUCUUGGUGAAGGAUGGUAAGAGAAGUAGGAUCACAAUGAGGUCCUGUUCCAAAUGUAAGAUCUGGUUUUUGACAUGGAGGGUAGUAAUUUAGUCUCAUUAUGGAAUCAUUUUCUUCAAAAAAAGAUUUGAAGUAGUCUCCGGAUACGCCUAAACUUAUCCCUAGAAGCUCCAUGAUCUUCAGUGACAGAGAACUCAUUGCUUCACAGUACUCUUGAUACACUUUCCUGCAAACCACAAACCAACAGUGACAUAAGUCUUCUAAUGUUACAAUACAGUGGUUGUAACAGUCCGGUAUAGAAUAAACCGGUUCUUGCUCUGUUUGUUUUUUCUUCUUUUAACUUUCUUUUAAAGGACAAAAAGCAAGAGGAGGAAAGGACAAAAGACAUGUUAAAGAUUUGAUUUUUUUUUUUGUUUUUUUUUUAAUUUCUUAUAGUUUAUUGCUCUGUUUUAACGUUUACCCAAAUGGCUCAAACUCAUGUCCCAACGCAUCGCAGAAGUAAUCUUGAACGUUUUUUGGGCGGCUCUUGUCGUCGCAAAACUGGAAAGAAAGGGUUUCCUUCCACGGAAGCUUGGUGGAGAAACGGCCAGUGAAACUGCUAGCGUAGCCACAACUCUCGCCUGCUUUUCUCUGAAUCCUCUGUUUCUCAGAGAGAGGCAUGUCGAAGAAGCGAGACAUAUAUUCAUGAGCGUCAGAUAUAAGCUGCUCGCUGAUGCCGUGAUUGACCACGAGGAAGAAACCGUGCUUAUAACAGGCCUCGGAUAUGAGCCUGGAAGCAUCUAACGUGGAGUGGCUAUGGGCGAGGAAGUUUUGGAGAUCGAUGAGGGGAACGUCAAGCUCGGGAGCUUCGAGGCAAGGCUUCUCAUCGUCAGGCCAUAUGAACUGGUUUGGAAUAGUGGCUUGGAGGUUAAGCAUUGAAGGGUUGAAGACUAGUGGCGUCACAAGGUCUAGUUUUGGUGUGUGUUCUUCCUCAGGGGAUGUUAUUACGCAACUCGCCGCCAUUUCUGAUGUUUCACGCCUUCGCUUCUUCUUGGUAUUAUGUUGUUGUUGGUAUGUUGAGUAUUGCGAGGGGAUGCGGGAACCAAGAAGGGUCGGUUCAGCCUUUAUAUAGCAUUUAAGCUGUCUAGUGUUGUCCACUGUUUUAAUUUUCAUUUUAUAUAGUACGUUUUUUUUUCAAUUAAAGACUUUCUACCAGAUGUGAUAUUCCAAAAAUAAAAUUUAAUAGACAAAGAUAAGAUAUCUAGACUUUAAUUAAUUUCUUCAAAUUUUCCUACACACAUUAAUUUAUAUUUGUAUUUUAUUGUAAUAUUCUCCUAUGUUUUUAUUAUUUAGAUUUUUUGCUGAUGAAUGAUGGUUUUACAAAUAAAAUUUUGAGCAUUCGUUUAAAACAUCUUAUAAAACUAAGAAAAAUUAUCAUUUUUUUUUAAAUCAACUAACUAAGAAAAAUUAUCAUUAUGUGAUGUUUUGCCUUAAUACACACAUAUAUCACUGGAAAUAUAUAUAUUGUUUUAAAAGUGUCACUGGAAGUUAUUAAAAUAUGUGGUACAUGGUUAACUCUUUAUAAUAUAAAUUAUAUAAAACAAUAAUUUGAAAUAAUUUAUCUAAUUACAAAAAUAACAGUAAAAAUAUAAUUGGUUAUACAAUAUUUAAUAAACUUAAAGUUACAUAGAUAUAUUAAAAUAUCUUAUACUGUGAAACAAUAAAAAUUUCCUAAAAUAUUUUACAUGAAAUGAAGGGAGUAUAUCUAAAAUUCACAUUUCUUUUGAUAUAAAUUAUAAACCAAAGGUUCAAAACUUUUCCUAAGUGAAAAAAGAGAGAUUGAAUAUGGUAGAUCAAACAGGGCAUGAUUAACUGUUUAAACCCCUAGUCUUCUUACCACUUAGCCAAAUAAAACGACAAAAUCGGGGUUCAGACACAUUCAAGAUUGUCUUUUUUUUAACACUUUAUUUUAUUGAUCUGAUUUAUAACAUGUUACACCAUAGAAGAAUGACAAAAUGACAGAGAAUUUCCACACCAAAAGCUAGCAAUGACAAUCACAAAUGCCCCAUUAGCUAUACCUAUACCAAACUGGUCUUGUUUCAAAUAAAUAGAUUAGGUGUUCCCGUUCCCACAAUAGCAGACGGACUUCUAAUACCUUUAGCGAAAACAUGACAAUCAUUCUCAUCAUCUAGAUAGGUCUUCUUCUUCAUUGCAUUUAUCAAACUUGUCCAAAAUUAGCUUCAGCCAAGCUACCAUACAAGCUCGAAUUACAAAGUAAAAAUCAGAUGGAUAGCCUGGACUGAUGCUUCAGAUCCACUAUCACCACCGCAGAAUCACAGACUCAAUGAAACAAUGGAAACCAUUCAAGAUUGUCUAAUCUGUCCAUCGGGAAUUGGAGAUUUGGAGUGAUAAAAUAAAGAAGAUAAUUAUUUGUCAUAAGAAACUAGGGAUCCUUUAGGUGGGGGUCUGUUUUUAUAGUUGUUAGGACAAAAGAGCUUCCCAAUGUUCUUUGGCUGCAUAUGGGAAGUGUUGGUUCUGUUUCUCUCUCACUCUGUGGAGUUUUCCUUAACGUUUUUUUUCCUUCCAAUUAUUUUCUUUCUUUUAAUAUUUUCUCUAUCUUAUUUAUGCUGAACCUUAUAAAAGGUUUUAUCCCAAGAAAAUCAAGUAGUCAAAUUGACCACAUUUUAGAGUUUAAUUACGUAACAUUGGUUUUCUUCUUUUUUUUUUAAAAAAUACCACAAUAAUAUAUAUGUAAAUUUUGAUUCGAUUCGUUAUCCAUUUCAUUUCAAACCAAAAAUUUAGAUAUCCGUAAUUUUAUGAAACCAGUAAAAUACUAAUAUGCAAUAUCUAUGAAAAUAGAACAAAUCACAAAUAUUAUUAUUUUAAAGAAUGUAUUGAUCUGAUCCGUGGUAUAUAUAUACAUAUAUUUAAAAGAAUUAAUGUAAAUUCAGAUAUAACAUAAAAUAAUUAAGUGCUUAUGUUCAAACCAAUUUUAAGAAUAAAAACAUAAAAUUUAAAGGUAAAACCCUACACACAUUGUUUUUUUAAAGGCAGCCCUAAACACGUUGUUGUUAAAAGCAUGAUCACAUAUACUCGAAACUACUCUGUCCUUUUUUGGACACAAGAAGAACGCAAGUGAUUUCCUCUCGCUCUUGCUGUUCACCACCGCCCGGUGCAAGCAGCUUUUGUAUCUAUUGUUUGAUAGAGCCUACAAAAACCAGAUUAAGCCCGGUUUAAUAUAUUUCUAAGUUCUAACCAAGAAAAGGGAAUUUUCUUUAGAUGUUUACCAUGAAAGUAUCACCGAUAUUGACCACAAAGGCCUUGGGGUUAGGACUGAUGGAGCGCCACUGAUUAUCGACAAAGACUUGAAGGCCAUGAACAUGGUCUUGGUGAAGGAUGGUAAGAGAAGUAGGAUCACAAUGAGGUCCUGUUCCAAAUGUAAGAUCUGGUUUUUGACAUGGAGGGUAGUAAUUUAGUCUCAUUAUGGAAUCAUUUUCUUCAAAAAAAGAUUUGAAGUAGUCUC